UACCAUGCUGAAUAUACCGGUUCUCGUUAGAUCACCGAAGUUAAGCAUCAUUGGGCGCGGUCAGUACUUGGGUGGGUGACCACCUGGGAACACUGCGUGCCGUU
rnacentral:rRNA from 1 species